CUGCAAUGAAAUAUACGUUUUGAAGAAGUUCCCUAUGAAAUGUCUUAUAAACUGUUUCUUCUGGCCAGGUUCUCGGGCUCACACCUGUAAUCUCAGCACUUUCAGUGACCAAGGAGAAAGGAUCAGGAUUAUGGCUUCUGUGACAAUGGCACUGAUGUGACUCCACCCAGCAUCCAUUGUUGUGAGAACUCUAUUUGGCAUAUCAUCAUUGUGGGCAUGAACAUAAUGGAGACUUUCUUAGGAUGCAAUGGUUAAUAUUCAACAUUAGUCAAAAUUUCUUCUAGUCCUACCCUUGGAGCUCUACUGGGUUGGAAAAUAUUUUCGGAGUUGCCCAAUAAGAAGUCCUCCCAUGAGAUUUGGAAGUCCGAAAAGGAUGACUCAAUAUUCUCCAUUGGUACCUAAGACAGACACAGGGACAGGGAUGAGGAAUAGAGAAACACCUGGAAAGACGCUGUAGGAAGCUGAGAGCAUCAGCACCCCCACCCCUAAGCUUCCAGACAGGACUGAGGACCACAUGGUUAGAAAACCCAUACUUCGGGUGAAGAUGCAUUCUGUUGCCUGAGGGAGCAUCAGAGAUUCCUGCUUCUAAUAUCAGCUUUCACGACUACUAUAUCCUUGGCUUUGAAAGGUUGUAGUGGGAAAAUUAAUCUUAGGAAUUUGGUCAUUCUUGUCAUACCCAACAGAGCAAAGAAACCAGUGGGGAAAGGCACUCAGGGUGCAAAAUAUUGUUUCUAGAAUGCAACUGAAAUAGGCCCUAUUAUCCCAUGGAACUAAUGUUUAUUCUUUUUUGUAUAAACAUAGAAAUUGACUCCCCCAGUCUUAAAACUCAAGAUAGUUACAUCUGUCUUAUCUGAGUUUUUUUUGUUUGUUUGUUUUUUCAGUAAACCAACGAACAGGCCUCCCAGAUACUAUCAAGGAGCUGAAACUUACAUAU